rnacentral:rRNA from 2 species
CCUGACGAGCAUAGAGAGUUGGUACCACCUGAUUCCAUUCCGAACUCAGUAGUGAAAUGACUCAUCGCCGAUGGUAGUGUGGGAGUUCCCAUGUGAGAGUAGGUCAUUGUCAGGC